rnacentral:rRNA from 1 species
CUCAGUUCGGAUUGGAGUCUGCAACCCGACUCCAUGAAGCUGGAUUCGCUAGUAAUCGCGCAUCAGCCAUGGCGCGGUGAAUACGUUCCCGGGCCUUGUACACACCGCCCGUCAAGCCAUGGAAGCCGGGGGUGCCUGAAGUGCGUGACCGCAAGGAGCGCCCUAAGGUAAAACCGGUGACUGGGGCUAAGUCGUAACAAGGUACC